GGUUUCUCCCGAGGAAGCCGUUUCCUGACUUCUACUUGAAAGACAUGCCGUUUCUAAGAGACACUGAACAGUGGAGUCUAGCGCAUGAAAUGGCAUUUGUGUCCCGGAAUACUGACGUGGCAGACUGAAGUGCAGUUCUGGGUGGAAGCGGAAUGGGAUAAAGAGCUCUAGCAACAACACAAAGGAAGGAAUACAGAAUGGGAUCGGGAAUACGAAACACAUAGGCGAGGCUUUCUGAAUACUUGGGAGGAGUACCCCAAACCAACAGGGAAGAGUCUAGUUCUUUAAGAAAGACCAAUAAGCAGUUAAACAGACCCAGAGAAACAUCUGAUUGGAUACAGGAAUACUACAUAAUCUCUUAACAAUGCCAUGCCCUCAAAUACUGAAGUGCAACUCAGUGUUCUAGAGAAAGAAGGUUUAAAGAAAAGAAAACAAAGCCAUGGCACACAUAUGAACACCAUCACUGUGCCCUUCACUUGGGGGAUGAAGAUGAUAGUAUGGUCCCAGAGGAUGAAGUACAGCUGGUGAACAAAGGACAAUAGACACUGGAUGCUUCCGUGGUUCCCUCCAACACCUCCUCUGGGGAGUUUCUAAUCAACCACAGCGACUCCGAAGGCUUGAGAGUGAAGGCCUCCUUUCCUGGAGGAGUGAUGGACCCAUGGAAGGUCUUCAAAUAGUCAUGUGGAAACCACUACAGGCUUUCAGGCUAAGAGAAGAAGGCAAGCAGUCCAGGAGGACUUCAAUUCUUCUUUCUGGGCUCCUGACUCCCAGAAUCAGCUCAGCUGACUCCUGACUCCCAGAAUCGGUUCAGGGGGAUCGUUGGGCAGGGAGGUGAAGAACUAUAUCCCGUGUCACCUUUGCCAACAGCCAGAAUAACAUGUUCGGCUCAUGCACGCCAUCUUGGAGUAGACUAUUCUUGGGAAGGUACCAAGAACCACUAAUCAACAAAGCAAAACAGUGGUAGCCAGGCCCACGCUACUGGUAAUACAGCUACUGACUGUGCCGCAGUGGAAUCGGGAGGUCACAAGAUCCUCUUUCCGGUUUCCCACAUUCCCAGCUACAAAGGAUCUUGAGAGAUGCUGGAGUAUACAGGAAGUGGAAGGUUGUCUGAAAGAGUGCCUCAGUGAAGCAAUUAUUUAUGCUAGGUGGGAAAUUUUGCUGAUGCAUCUGCCUGGGCUCACCUGCUGUCAAGAUUCUGCUCUGCUCUGUGUACCCUCACUGUGUGAAAGGGUUUUCAGAGGGACUUGGUUGUAUUAGGCAGAGACUGGGUUUAUUAGGCAGCUUUCACUCUAUUUUGAGGACAGAAGCUGACUCUUACUUGAGUGGGUACAAGAGCAGCACCAUGUGGCCAACAGCACCUACUGAUAACCAACUUACUCCUGGAAGUAGAGGGGGUACCACCCUAUAAAUCUAUCAGAGUAAAUGGAGACUACAGGCAUCCAUGGGCAUGCUAAAAUCCUAUCGGGGAAAAAACAAGCCCAAACACUUAACAGACACACAAGACAGACCAAAGAAAGAACUCCGCAACCUGGACACCAUAGGUGGAUGCUUAGCAGUGUUAAUAACAACAACCCCAGUGACUUGUUAUCUGACACCUGAUGCGUGCAUCAAGGCUCACAGGCAGUGACUCCAGACUGUCGAUUCAGCUUGACUUGGGCCCCACUUCUGUCACAACCUUCUUCCACUGCCACCUGCUCAUGCUCUUGUGAAGCUGUCUGGCCUUGGUCCUUUACAAUGUUAACUUCUGAUACUCAAACUGCUGCUGCUGCAGCUUCUCUGCAUCUUGCUUUGGUUAUUUUAUCAACAGAGCCUUGUGUAUUUCUAUCAGUUUCCAAAGCUCCUUCUACUCCCUGCCUCUUUAAUCUUCUGUAGUCACUCUAUAACCUACAAAUUUGCAUGUGCAGAGAGAUAUUUACCGUGUGAUAUGUAGUGUGUGAUCUGAGAAUUAGUACUAGUAGUAAUUAAGACUGGAAUUGAAGAUUCAGUUUGGGGGAGGAGGUGGAAAUUUUUAAUAAAUAAAAAAAGAAAAAAAAUAAAUAAAGAUUCAGUUUGCCUCAU